rnacentral:tRNA from 1 species
CCCUUUGUGGUGUAACGGUAGCACACUCGGUGUGUAUUCGAGAGGUCCAGGUUCGAGUCCCGGCGAGAGCA